rnacentral:misc_RNA from 1 species
GAUGAAGAACGCAGCGAAAUGCGAUAAGUAAUGCGAAUUGCAGAAUUCAGUGAAUCAUCGAAUCUUUGAACGCACAUUGCGCCCGCCAGUAUUCUGGCGGGCAUGCCUGUCUGAGCGUCGUUUCGACCCUCGCGCCCGGCUUCUGUCGGGGGCGGUGUUGGGGAUCGGCCACACCCUUCAGUGGGAGGCCGGCCCCUAAAUUCAGUGGCGACCACGCUGUAGCCUCCCCUGCGUAGUACUAAAACCACCUCGCAGGCGGAGAGCGGUGCGGCCCGCCGUAAAACCCCCCAACUUUUACAAGGUCGACCUCAGAUCAGGUAGGAAUACCCGCUGAACUUAAGCAUAUCAAUAGCGGAGGA